rnacentral:lncRNA from 1 species
GUAAGUCUUAUAUCACAACCACCUCCUAAAAUCAAAAUGGAGCUGUUUCUGUAGGAGUCAGACUACCUCCUUUAGAGGAUAUGGGAGUAGUCCAUCACUCAUUCAGACAGUUUUAUUAAGCGUGAUAUAGUCUACCUCUCUCAGCACUGGGCGUGGUGCAUCUCCUAUUGUUAGGCAAUUCCCUUACUUCCUGAUCCUUCAAUUCACUUACUUCCUGAUCCUUCAAUUCACUUUCUUUAUAAUUACGAAAUGGUCUGAGAUAACCAGGUUCCCCUUGCUCAAGCUUCCAAAAAUCAGGCUGACAAGUUACAUUUGGACAUCUGCUCUUCAAAAGCCAAAGGCAGAGUUUUCUGUUAAAUAAUGAGCUGUCCAAGCAUAUUUUGAUUCAUUCAGGCCACAUACAGCAGCAGGAGUUUCUGGGUGGUGCCUCAGGUCUAAAUUUUACUGUAAUCCUACAGGUUAGAAAUCAAUGAGCUGAUCAGAACAUAUCCAGUUUCCAAAGAUAUGAGUGGCACCAUCAAUAUAAAUUAGUUCUCCAGUAAUGUCAAAGGGCACACUUAGCAGUGCUGUCAGAACAACCAGAAAAACCACAUUCAAAAGGGAACACAGCCUAAGGCACACAACUCAUGAUAAAUACCUGGGAAAAAACCAGUUAGCUCUGCCUUUAGCUGUUCCCACCCCAAUUUUCACGAUUAAAACUACAAUCGACAUACUAAUUAGUCGGCAGACAUCUCUAUAAUGUUUAUACUCCUAAAAAACAUGUUAUGUUGGUUAACUGAACCUAUACAAUACUUAGAAAUCUCCCUAAAGUUAUCCUAAAAACAAAACAAAAACAAAAACUUUGCAAGCUUUCUGAGUUCAAACCUGUAAUUUUGUUACCUAUCAGUGCUUUAUAAAAGAGCUAAGAUAAUUAUAAGGAACAAGCCUCCUAAAAUGUAAAAUUCCAUUGUUCCUCUACUACCCGCCCAUCAGUGGCAAAUAAACACCUUACCAUGACAUUCACUGUGAGUAUUGCUAGCGGGAGAAGUGGAGGAGAAAGCAGUCAAUUAUACCUGAUGAUCAGGGAUGGAGAGAGACAGGAGGGAUGCUGAGUUGGCCUUGAAGGUCAAGUCCCAAGCUGGGCCACUAUCUGAUUGGGAGAUAGAAAGUGAGAGGAGAAAGGCAUUUCUGGAAAGAAAUCCCUGGGGGCAAAUAUUCUGCAGCACUGAAGGCACACAGGAUUAGUUCAGUUACUAAAGUGCGGGUAGACAGGGGAGGAAGAAGAAGAGAGUUGGAAGAGGAGACUGGAAAGCAGACUGAGGCAAGGCUGGGAAGGCCUUGGGUGCUAGCGGCAUUUGGAAUUUGUGUGCUAAGCAGGGAGAGGCCAUCUGAGUUCUCCCAUGCAUUGAGUAAACAACACGUCCCGACCUCGUGGCAGGUAUUCAGUCAGCUGCUGGUGAGCAACGUGGCUCCUGUCCCUAUGAAGCUUAAAGUCUAAGGUAAGGCAGACCCUAGGAAUUCGGCGCACAGAAGCCUCUCUGCUGUGAUGGAGAAGUAACAGGGACGAUGAGGACAUAGAGCAGGGAAGGGGGCCUAGGAAGCUAUUCUGGAAGAAGUGAGUUGGUUCCUGAAGUUGAAGCACCUGCAGAGGUGAGGAGGUGGGGAGCAGAAGUGCAGGAUCCAUCUGUGCAAAGAGGCUGGGGCCUCAACAACAUGAACUGUUUUAAUCAGAUUUGCAUUUUAGAAAUGAUAACCCUAGGCCUGGAGCGGUGGCUCAUGCCUGUAAUUCCAACACUACGGGAGGCAGAGGCUCUACUAACAAAUCUCUACUAAAAAUACAAAAAUUAGCUGGGUGUGGUGGUGCAUGCCUGUAAUUCCAGCUACUCAGGAGGCUGAAGCAGGAAAAUCUCUUAACACAGGAGGCAGAGGACGCAGUGAGCCAAGAUCACACCAUUGCACUCCAGCCUGGGUGACAGAGCGAGACUCUGUCUUAAAAAAAAAAAAAAAAAGAAAAGAAAGAAAUGAUAACCCUGACCAAGGACUCCAGGAAAAGAUGGUGUUAAUCUGUGGCCAAGACAAGAGUGCAGAAAGUCCUUACUGUCCUCUGGCAACAGGGGCCAAAGGCGGAGGCUAAUAAGGUGGUGCAGACAGAAAGGGUGGGAUUUCUGGCAGAACUUUCAGAGGCAGAGGCAGCAUUUUACAACUCACUUCAUCCGGGCAGGGGGUCUGGGAGGAAAAACAUUGAAAAAGGUGCCCAGUUUCUAGCCUUAGCAACUGCUGCAGGCAGCUGAACUCUGCAAGGGUUCUUAUUUGGCCCUGACAUUCUAUACGCACUUAUUAGCAUUUUAUUCAAGAAGAGGGUGGUUCCCCCAAAUGUUUCCAUAUUUAGCCAAAGGAAGCUAAAUUUCAAACUUCAAGUGUCUACUCAAACCUAAGACUGAACCCCUCAAUUUCCCUCAUAACUCCAUUAUCCCCCAGGCUUCCUCACGUCAGUAAAAGGCAACCCCAUCUCCCAGGUGCUCAUGCCAAACACCUAGAGUCAUGCUGGAGUCUCAUCUUCCCUCCUACCCUGCUCCCUAUUCAUCCGUAAGCCCUAGGCUCUGCCUUCCAAAUGUUUCCAGAACCUAAAACCUCUCCUCACCUCCCUGCAAGCUGCUUGGCUGAAGCUCUGUUCUCCCUCACCCGGAUUAGAGGUAGCCCCAGACAGCAUGCCCUUCAGUCUAGCUCCAACAUGGAGGGCAGGCUGAUUCUUUCCAAAGGUAAUCAGAUGGAGUUACUCCUCGGCUCGAAACUCUGCAGUGGGUUCUCACUUCUCUCAGAGUAAAACCCAAAAUCUACCUGCUCUCUUUCCCUCUCAUCUACAGCCACCCUGCUGUCUCCCUGGUCCUGGAGCUUGGGGCCACACAGUGUCUGUUCCUGUACCUGGAAUGCUCUUCCCCCGUAGCCACAAGGCUUAGCCCCUCACCUUACUGUCCUAGCUCUAAUGUCACCUUUUUAGGAGCCCAAUCAAUCACCACCAUAUUUAAACCCCAGCCUUGCCAGUCCCCCUUCUUUACAUUGUUGUCCAUAGCACUUCUCAUCUGCUAUCAGACUUUAAAAUUUAUUAGGCUGGGCACAGUGGCUCAUGCCUAUAAUCCCAGCACUUUGGGAGGCCAAGGCAGGUGGAACACCUGAGGUCAGGAGUCUGAGACCAGCCUGGCCAACAUGGCGAAGCCCCGUCUCUACAAAAAUACAAAAAUUAGCUGGACAUGAUGGUGUGUGCCUGUAAUCCCAGCUACAUGGUAGGCUGGGGCAGGAGAACUGCUUGAACCUGGAGGCGGAGGUUGCAGUGAGCUGAGAUUGUGCCAUUGCACUCCAGCCUGGGCGACAGAGUGUGAGACUCCAUCUCAAAAAUAAAUAAAAUUUAUUUAUUAAUAAUCUCUUCUAACCGGAAUGUACACUCCCAGAGCAAAGGGAUUUUUGCUUAUUUUGUUUAGCUACAUCCCCAGCACCCAGAAUACAGUACAAUGUACGGUAACUAUCUUACAGAUGUUUGUUGACUGAAUGAAAAGUCACCUAUUAAUAAGGCUCCCUGAGUCACCUGGACAAAAUAGUAAGCCCUCACCUCUUUUGCCCUUCAUGCUUAUUUAUUUUUCCUUGCAUAUAUCAUCAACGUGUGAUAAAUGUUAAUACCACAUAUUAGUGUGUUUAUUCUCUUCUCCACACAAGAAUGCCAACUCCAUAGGGGCAGGAAUCUUGUCUCUUUUCUCUUUGUUGUAUGAUGAACACCCAGGACAGAGCCUGGCACAGAGGAGAUGAGAAAGAGAAGGAAGGAGAGACAGAGGUCAGGUGUGGUGGCUCAUGCCUGUAAUCCCAACACUUUGGGAGGCCAAGAGGGGUGCACUGCUUGAGCCUGGAGAGUUCGAGACCAGCUUGGGCAACAUGGUGAAACCCCGUCUCUACAAAAAGUACAAAAAUAGUAGUUGGGCGUGGUGGCAUGUGCCUGUAGUCCCAGCUACUUGAAAAGCUGAGUCGGGAGGAUUGCUUGAGCCCAGGGGUCAAGGCUGCAGUGAGCAAUGAUCAUGUCAUUGCAGUCCAGCCUGGGUGACAGAUGGAGACCCUGUCUCAAAAAAAGAAAAGAGAAAGAGAAGGAAGGAGGGGGAGAGAGACGAAAGAAAGAAAAAGAAAGGAGGAGGGAAGGAGGAAGGAGAGGGGCGGAAUGGAGGGAAAAGGAGAAGGAAAGACAGAAGAAGGAAGAGAGGGAGGAAGGGAGAAGGGAGGAAAGAGAAAGAAGGAGACAGGGAGUGCGGAAAGAAAUAGAAAGGAGGAAGGAAUUCUAACUCCAUAUUAUCAAGGUCACAGAUGAGUAGCCUAAAAUAAAAAAUUGGUUGUUCUACCUAGAGCAAGAGAUUCUGUCAGGAUUCUGUCAGAGAGCAGUGAAACAACUGGCCAUGUUUUUUUUUUUUUUUUUUUGAAAUGGAGUUUCGCUCUUGUUGCCCAGGCUGGAGUGCAAUGGUGCAUUCUCAGCUCACUGCAACCUCCACCUCCUGGGUUCAAGCAAUUCUCCUGCCUCAGCCUCCCAAGUAGCUGAGAUUACAGACAUGUGCCACCACACCCGGCUAAUUUUGCAUUUUUAGUAGAGACGGCGUUUCUCCAUAUUGAUCAGGCUGGUCUCAAACUCCCGACCUCAGGUGAUCCGCCUGCCUUGGCCUCCCAAAGUGCUGGGAUUACAGGCGUGAGCUGCUGCGCCCAGCCUAGGCAUUUCUUUAAAAUCUAUCCAUUCAUGUGCUCCAUUAGUCAAAAUAAAAGGCAAUAUCUAGUAAUGAUGCCAGGAUAAGGAGUAGGCUACAUUGGAUUCUAAUCAAAGGAGGCAUGAGUCACUGAAAAACCAUCAUCAUUUGUUGGCUGCUUUCUUCUAUAGUUUCUGAACAAUAAAUAAGAAGGAUUGGCCAAUCUUGUUACUUGGCAUAAUAAACCAGGUAAGCAUACUUGAUGAUUCAAUUCCAUUUGGAACCGAUACUACACGUUAAGGAAACAAAACUAACAUUGGCAUUCAGCUGAGUUCUGUCCAACGACCCUUUGCCUCCACUGUGUCUUGUUGGGCAUGCUGCUAUAAUUUUAAAGGUAAUGACUGUAAUAGUACCACCUCGCAUUCAUGUGAGUUCACGUGAAUUAGGCUUCUACCACUCUUGAAAGUAAUUUUAAUUAUCUCGUUUAAUGACCUUCACCUUGCAGGAAAGAAACAGAGACAUGAAGAGGUUAAGACAAGUGACGGAGGUCUCAGGGCCAGGCAGGGAAAGAGUGACUUGUUUUGGAGGGUGGGAGCCCACCCACACAAUCAACCACAGUCACCCAGAUCUGCCCACUGAGCAUGCCUGCCCCUCGUCCUGACAUAACUGAUUAGGAAAUGAUUUCUAAAUGGUCAAGAGUCCAGCCUCGAUAGCCACUUCUCUGAUUCCAACAGAAUUUCUACAGAAGACAAUUUCCUUGUCUCAGCAAGGAGGGAAUACAGAUGAAUUGGCAGGAUCAGGAGCAGCCAUGUUGCACCAAGAGAAGAUGAAAAAAGCAUAUGUUGCAGAUUGCAAAGUAACUAGAAAUGAGUAUAUAAGUUGCUAUGGUGAUGGUUGUCAACUGGACCACAGAGCUGGACUGGACCUUCAAUGGGGUGAAAAGUAGGUAACCCCUGCUGCCUGUGAGAGGUAAGACAUCCAGCAUCUCAUCAAACUGAUGCUAAAGAAAGAUUUUCUGCUCCCUGUAACAUAAAAGGAUUUUACUGCAUGGGUAUAUCAGUAAGUGCAUUUAGGUCAACAAACAGUUCUACUCAACAACCACACAAUAUGUAGAGCUUGCUCAAGCAAAUUGUGUGAUAACCAUGUGCUUUUAUAGACAAUGUAAGUCAUUGCUACAUAUUAUUUGUAAUGAUUGUUGGCUUGUUUAGUGCGGUUCCAGGUCUUUUAAUCCCUUCACAUAUGACCCCAAAUUUGAGAAGUCUGUCAGAUAUCCAAGU